rnacentral:rRNA from 1 species
UCUGGUCUUGGGACACUGUCAGGUGGGCAGUUUGACUGGGGCGGUCGCCUCCCAAAAGGUAACGGAGGCGCUCAAAGGUUCUCUCAGUACGGUCGGAAAUCGUACGUAGAGUGUAAAGGCAAAAGAGAGCUUGAUUGCAAGACAUACAGGUCGAGCAAGGAUGAAAAUCGGACUUAGUGAUCCGGUGGUUCUGCGUGGAAGGGCCAUCGCUCAACGGAUAAAAGCUACCCUGGGGAUAACAGGCUUAUCUCCCCCAAGAGUCCACAUCGACGGGGAGGUUUGGCACCUCGAUGUCGGCUCAUCACAUCCUGGGGCUGUAGUAGGUCCCAAGGGUUGGGCUGUUCGCCCAUUAAAGUGGUACGCGAGCUGGGUUCAGAACGUCGUGAGACAGUUCGGUCCCUAUCCGUCGCAGGCGUAGGAAAUUUGAGAAGACCUGUCCUUAGUACGAGAGGACCGGGAUGGACGUACCUCUGGUGUACCAGUUGUUCUGCCAAGGGCAUGGCUGGGUAGCUAUGUACGGAAUGGAUAAGCGCUGAAAGCAUCUAAGCGCGAAGCCAACUUCAAGAUAAGAUUUCCCACCGCAAGGGUAAGACCCCAGAAAGACUAUCUGGUUGAUAGGUCGAAGGUGUAAGUGCAGCAAUGUAUUUAGCUUAUCGAUACUAAUAGGUCGAGGACUUGACCAAUAUU